CCUAUAUGUAAAUAUAGAAAUUACAAGGACUAAACUGCUAAGUUGCAAAAAAGAAAAAAAAAAGGGAAAACCGAAAAUUCGGUAUUAUCCCACCGCCUCCCACGCACUCUGUUUCUUUCCAGAAACAGAGAGAGCGGUGGGGCGUGAGGACAAGAAGGAGAGUGGUAGAAGAAGAGGAGGUGGCUGCAGCGAGGGCUGCAGCGAGAAGCUGUGGGGCGUGGGGAGAAGAAGAGAGGAAGAAGAGGGAGAAGAGAAGAAGAAGAAGAAGAAGAAGAGAAGAGGAUAGCUGCGGCAAGGCUGCAGCGAGGAGGUGUGUGGGGUUGGGGAGGAAAAGGGAAGAGGAGAAGAAGAGGGAAAAGAGAGGGAAGAGGGGAGGAGCGAGAGGUGGCAGCAGCUAGGGCUGCAGCACCUCUGUUUCCUGCAGGUGGAAACAGAGGAGAGGUGUGGGGCGUUCGAAGAGGAGAAGAAGAAGAAGAGGAAGAGAAGAGGAAGAGGAAGCAGGGGAAGAGGUUGUGAUACCUCUGUUUCCUGCAGACGAAACAGAGGAGAGGGUGUGGGUGACGUCGGGGAGAAGAAGGGGAGGAAGGAGAAGAAGAGAAGAAGAAGAAAGGAAGGAAAAGGAAGAGGAGAAGGGAAGAAAGUAGCUGCGGCUGCGGUUGUGGCAGCUGCAGCUGUGGCAGGGAAAGAAGAAGAGAAAGGAAGAAGGGAAGGAGAGGAAGAAGAGAAGGGGCUGCGGCUGCGGCGAUGGCAGCUGCAGUUGGAAGAGAAGAAGGAGAGGAAGAUGAGCAGGGGAGGAAGAAAAGGCUGUGGCCGUGGCUGAGGCUGCGACUGCAGCAUGCAGCUGGGAAAGAAGAGAAGGAAAGGAAGAAGAAGAGAAAGGAAGAAGGGAAGGAGAGGAAGAAGAGAAGGGGCUACGGCUGCGGCGAUGGCAGCUGCAGUUGGAAGAGAAGAAGGAGAGGAAGAUGAGCAGGGGAGGAAGAAGAGGCUGCGAGUGUGGUGGCUGCGGCCGUGGCUGCGACUCCGGCUGCGGCUGCGACGUUGGCUGCGGUAGCUGCGGCAGCGGUGGUGGCUGCAGUAGCUGCAGUAGCUGCUUUUGGGAAAGAGAAAGAGUAGGAACGAGAGAAGGGAAGAAGGAAAUAGUGCAGUGGAAGGGGGCUGCGGUUGUGACCGCAGUUGCGGUCGUGGCUGCGAUUGUGGCAGCGGCAGCGACGGCGGCUGUGGCAGCUGUGUUUGGGAAAGAAAAAGAAGGAAUGAGAGUAAGAGAGAGCAGGUGACUGUGCCUCGAUGUUCGACACGUGAUGUAGUUACGAAGAAAGGAAGAAAACGGGAGCACAAAACGAAACAGAGAGAGGACACGGAGGAAAAGUAGAAAGAUUGGAUUGGCACCUUCCUUGGAUAUUCAGAUCAAAAUAUUUGAAAGGUCAACUUGUCACUCUUCGAGAUGUUUGAUUUGGGCUGAGGCAGUGGAUAACUAUUCAGAAUGAUGGGCAAGUCUGGUUGGUUAUUACGAUAUUGUUGUAUAAGUAUGUUUUGUAUGUAAUGAAAUGUUGUCGAUGAACCGAAAUGGAUAUACUGUGUCAAAGUGUUAGGAGAUCUCUCUUAUUUGGAAUUUCUGAAUGUUAAGUCUAAUUUAUGAUGAUAUGAACUUGUGGUGAAUAGUUGGAGUUCUGAUUGUAUAAUUUAUUUAGCUUGUGGAUUUAUAAAUGUUGUUCAUUUUUGUCAA